rnacentral:tRNA from 1 species
GGGGCCGUGGUGUACUGGUUUGUGCAUAACACUCUGUCACGGUGUAGGUGGGGGUUCGACUCCCCUCGGUCCCGC